AAUUUUUGACAAUGGGGGCAACCCUGAUCCAGCCAUCCCGCGUGUGCGAUGAAGGCCUUCGGGUUGUAAAGCACUUUUUGCAGGGAAGAAAAGGCGCCGGUUAAUUCCUGGCUCCGCUGACGGUACCUGCAGCAUAAGCACCGGCUUACUACGUGCGUGCAGCCGCGGUAAUACGUAGGGUGCAAGCGUUAAUCGGAAUUACUGGGCGUAAAGCGUGCGCAGGCGGUUCGGAAAGAAGGAUGUGAAAUCCCGGGGCUUAACCUCGGAACUGCAUUCUUAACUGCCGGGCUAGAGUAUGUCAGAGGGGGGUAGAAUUCCACGUGUAGCAGUGAAAUGCGUAGAGAUGUGGAGGAAUACCGAUGGCGAAGGCAGCCCCCUGGGAUAAUACUGACGCUCAUGCACGAAAGCGUGGGGAGAAAACAG
rnacentral:rRNA from 1 species